rnacentral:lncRNA from 1 species
CCCAAAUUCACACACAAAACAUAAAAUCCGAGUGGAAAAAAGUAACAUUUUUACUGUGAAAACCACAAAUAUGUGUGAUGAACUGUUUUUAAAACUUAAACUUCAAAUAAAAAUUGUAAACUUCAAAACAUAUGCAAAUUUUUAACAAAGAACAUAGUGAUUUACCUCUAUUUACAUCAAAAUGCAGGCAAUGGCCCAGGCGUUCUUUGUAAAAUUAUUUACAAAACACUGUAUAGUCUCACAAAUGUCACUUUUUAUUUAUGCCACUACAAAAAAACAUGAUGUAAAUGAUGCAUGAUGUAAAACAUGAUGUAAAAAACUUGUGUAGAUCCUCCUCUAUGUCAGUCCAUGUGUAAUUUUUCCAUAAUUCUUUGUUUUUUGCAGCAUUUUUGUUAGUGUAACUGCAGAUUGUGCUAACAGUGUCUAUGGCACAAAAAAAAAAAAAAUUAAAAUGCCUCAACAUGAACCCCUGGUGGUCUCUGAGGGUGAAACCUGCUAACUGCUGCAGCUCUGUCAGCUUCAGUCUCCCAUGCAGAGCUCUGAGCGCAUGUGUGGCUCUGCACCCUUAGCAGCGUUGCUAACUCCUCAGUAAGGAAAGCCUGCUUCAUGUCAGAGUCUCUAAACUCCAGAAGAAGUCGAUAAAAGUCCCUUUCUUUCUAAAAAAAAGUCGUUAGGGGGUCUGAAAAGUCAUUGAAUCUAACAACAAAGUCGCUAAGUUUGCAACUACGUGUCCCAGACUGCAUCCCUGCUGAGAGUCCCUCCCUCCCUUCUCAUGUUGCAGGAAGAACGUAAGCGCCCGCCCCUUGUCAAUCAGUCACCAUAUAAUUUUGGAUUGGUUGUUGUGGUGAAGUUUUCCACCAAUAGGAGAGAUGUUGUGGUGUGUGUUUUUUUUCUUUUGGCAAGCCUUUUCCGCCUGUAAGAGCUGUCGCUAAUGUCUGCAUGCUAUGUUUUCCUGUCUCAUACAGCGCGAUCGAGCGCCGAACGUGAUCAAAAUAAGCAGAAAAAAAGUAUCGCGGACAUAAUUUAUCAUAACUCUGGUUUUAUUUGGCCUAUCAACACAAUUUAAAAACUGGUAUAUAGGUUGAGGUCCUCACUUUUGAGAUAAGUUGAAACGGAGAGUCAACGAGGCUCCGUCUUGCAGCUACAUCCGGUUAAAUAUGUCAUGUGACUUGAACGCACACACAGACACACACACACACACACACACACACACACACUCAGAGUCUGGUUUUUAGCACCUGCAAAAACAUGCUAUUUACAUAUUUGACAAGAAUGCAGAGGCUCCUUUUGCCCCUGAAAAAAAUCAAAUUUCAAACACAACUUGACUGGUCAUUUCUCCAAAAGACAACCAUGAAGCUCCAUCCAAACCUGAAGCAGGCAGUUUGUGCAUGUGUACAGUAACCUGAGGGGAGUGAGGUGAGUGCUUCUGAGGAGAACAUGAGCAGUGAAGAUUCACCUUGGAGCUAGAACAGAGACAUGCACAUGAUUAUACAGGGGCAGGGGCUCAAGUUUUUUCCAGUCGUUUAUACAAUAUGGAAAUUAAUGUGAAAUUAAAACACAAAGUAUUAAUAGAAAGGUAAUGACUGUCCUGUGUAGGUGACAGUGAUAUCCAAUAGGCUAGGCACUCACGAGGCUGGCUGUGGCAAGUGUAAGUGAAAGCAACACGCACUGGCAGGAAGAACAGCAAACGCCGAUGAAGGAAAAGGGUCUUUGCAGUGAUGGGCGUUACCAGAGAGGGCGAUGGCCAGAGGACACAAAUGGGACGGGGAGGCAGCACGUUGGGGGGGGGGGACGCGACACGGCUCGGGCCCGCCAGUGCCCCAACGGGGUCCUAGUUAGGGCCCGAGCGUAGCUGCUAAGCAGCUGCGAGAGCCCUAUUAUUCCUGAUGGAUUCUUCUUUCUUCUUCUUCUUAUUAUUAUUUUUCUGCCCCUUUGAACUGGAAAAUGGCCCACUUCCCACUGGUGAAAAGUCAUGAAAUUUGGCAGGACGACCGGGCCUGGUGAAAAAUUCGAUAUUCUGAAGUCGCCCAAAAAAUCAAAUGCAAAAUGGCUCCAUAGCGCCCCCUAAGGUGAAAAAUUCACAUGAUUGAGUGUCACGCCUGUACGCUUUGUCAAAAUGACACAAAAUUUGACACACACGUGUAUCUCAAUAAGAUCUACAAAAAAGUCAGUGCGGGCGUAUCUGUCAAAUGUACGGUUAAAGGGCUAUUUCGCAUUUUUUGCCGAUCCGCACACAUUGGAAUUUCGCUAACUCCUCCGAAGGCUUUCGUUCCACCGGCACCAAAUUUGCUCAGGCCAAUCUACACCCCAUGGCCAUUAAAAGUUGUACAAAUCAUGACGCUGCAUCCCACGGUUUACGUUCUAGGGGGCGCCAAAGAUAACCCAGAAAUCCACAUUCUUAAAAGUCGUAUAACUUUUUAUUUUUGUCCUCACUGGCCUCCAAGUUUUCUAGGAUGAUGCAAUGUCCAGCCAUCAACACAUUUGUGAAGGAAUUUUUACUCCCCAAAAGAGCGCCCCCCCAUGGCAGGAGAAAAAAGUCCAUUUUUUCUUGUCUCCUAAGGCGAAAAUUCACACUAUUGACUGUCACGCCUUUACGCUUUGUCAUAUUGACACAAAAAUUGACACACACAUGUAUCUCAAUAAGAUCUACAAAAAAGUCAGUGCGGGCGUAUCUGUCAAAUGUACGGUGAAAGGGCUAUUUCGCAUUUUUUGCCGAUCCGCACACAUUGGAAUUUCGCUAACUCCUCCGAAGGCUUUCGUUCCAAAGGCACCACAUUUGCUGAGGCCAAUCUACACCCCAUGGCCAUUUAAAGUUGUACAAAUCAUGAUGCUGCACCCCACGGUUUACGUUCUAGGGGGCGCCAAAGAUAACCCAAAAAUCCACAGUCUUAAAAGUCUUAUAACUUUUUAUUUUUGUCCUCACUGGCCUCCAAGUUCUCUAGGAUGAUGCAAUGUCCAGCCAUCAACACAUUUGUGAAGGAAUUUUUACUCGCCAAAAGAGCCCCCCAUGGCAGGAGAAAAAAGUCCAUUUUUUCUUGUCUCCUAAGGCGAAAAUACACACUAUUGACUGUCACGCCUUUACGCUUUGUCAUAUUGACACAAAAAUUGACACACACAUGUAUCUCAAUAAGAUCUACAAAAAAGUCAGUGCGGGCGUAUCUGUCAAAUGUACGGUGAAAGGGCUAUUUCGCAUUUUUUGCCGAUCCGCACACAUUGGAAUUUCGCUAACUCCUCCGAAGGCUUUCGUUCCAAAGGCACCACAUUUGCUGAGGCCAAUCUACACCCCAUGGCCAUUAAAAGUUGUACAAAUCAUGAUGCUGCACCCCACGGUUUACGUUCUAGGGGGCGCCAAAGAUAACCCAAAAAUCCACAGUCUUAAAAGUCUUAUAACUUUUUAUUUUUGUCCUCACUGGCCUCCAAGUUCUCUAGGAUGAUGCAAUGUCCAGCCAUCAACACAUUUGUGAAGGAAUUUUUACUCGCCAAAAGAGCGCCCCCCCAUGGCAGGAGAAAAAAGUCCAUUUUUUCUUGUCUCCUAAGGCGAAAAUACACAUUGUUGACUGUCACGCCUUUACGCUUUGUCAAAAUGACACAAAAUUUGACACACACAUGUAUCUCAAUAAGAUCUACAAAAAAGUCAGUGCGGGCGUAUCUGUCAAAUGUACGGUUAAAGGGUUAUUUCGCAUUUUUUGCCGAUCCGCACACAUUGGAAUUUCGCUAACUCCUCCUAAAUCUUUUGUCCCAUCGGCUUCAAAUUUGCUCAGGUCAAUCUACACCCCAUGGCCAUUCAAAGUUGUACAAAUCAUGACGCUGCACCCCACAGUUUACGUUCUAGGGGGCGCCAAAGAGGACCCAAAUAUCCACAUUUUUAAAAGUCUUAUAACUUUUUAUUUUUGUCCUCACUGGCCUCCAAGUUUUCUAGGAUGAUGCAAUGUCCAGCCAUCAACACAUUUGUGAAGGAAUUUUUUCUCCCCAAAAGAGCGCCCCCCCAUGGCAGGAGAAAAAGUCAAGUUUUUCCUGCCCAUCGCUCAAUGGCUCAAACGCAUCGCUCUCUCUGCAAAACGGAAAGGAGGAGCAACUUGCCAUUUGGAUAUAUACUAGCUGUGUUUGUGCCCUCACUCAUGGUCCAGACUUUUUUCAAAUAGGACAUGUAGUUUGUCUGCAGCAAGCGUUUUGGUAGAAACUGCGCCUCCCAUUCAUUAUAAUGGGAAAUGACCACAGACAAGUGCCCACACCAUCUUUGGACCUUGAGUGUGACGCGAUCGGGAGGGGGAGGCGGUCGCGCUGGGGGCGGCGCGACGCGGCUCGGGCCCGACAGUGCCCCACCGGGGCCCUAGUUAUUAUUAUUAUUAUUUUUCCUCCGCUUUAAACUGG